AGUUUAACUGGGGCGGUUGCCUCCUAAAUGGUAACGGAGGCGCCCAAAGGUUUCCUCAGUCUGGUUGGCAAUCAGAUGGUGAGUGUAAGUGUAUAAGGGAGCUUGACUGUGACACUGACGGGUGGAGCAGGUGCGAAAGCAGGGACUAGUGAUCCGGCAUCUACGUGUGGUUGUGGUGUCGCUCAACGGAUAAAAGGUACCCCGGA
rnacentral:rRNA from 1 species